AGCGAACGCUGGCGGCAGGCCUAACACAUGCAAGUCGAACGAACCUUUCGGGGUUAGUGGCGGACGGGUGAGUAACACGUGGGAACGUGCCUUUAGGUUCGGAAUAACUCAGGGAAACUUGUGCUAAUACCGAAUGUGCCCUUCGGGGGAAAGAUUAAUCGCCUUUAGAGCGGCCCGCGUCUGAUUAGCUAGUUGGUUGAGGUAAUGGCUCACCAAGGCGACGAUCAGUAGCUGGUCUGAGAGGAUGAUCAGCGACAUUGGGACUGAGACACGGCCCAAACUCCUACGGGAGGCAGCAGUGGGGAAUCUUGCGCAAUGGGCGAAAGGCUGACGCAGCCAUGCCGCGUGAAUGAUGAAGGUCUUAGGAUUGUAAAAUUCUUUCACCGGGGACGAUAAUGACGGUACCCGGAGAAGAAGCCCCGGCUAACUUCGUG
rnacentral:rRNA from 1 species